CCUGUGGCUGCUGCAACAAAUUACCACACACUUAGUAACUUAAAACAACCAAAAUGUAUUCCCUUACAGGUCUGAAGGCCAGAAUUCUACAGUAAGUCCUACUGAGUCAAGGUGGGAGCAGGGUCGGUGGCUUCUGAGGCUCUGUGGGAGAAUCUGUUUCCUGGCCGUGGAGGUGGCCUGCACUCCUCAGCUUGUGCUGCCCGUCUCGAAUGACUGGAGUUUCCUGCUUCUGUCACUACACCUCCCACCCUCUCCAUCACCUGCUCUGCUCUUAUAAGGAUCUGGGUGGAGUCUUGCUCUGUCAUCCAGGCCGGCAGUGGCGUGGUCUUGGCUCACUGCAACGUCUGCCUCCUGGGUUCAAGUGAUUCUCUUGCCUCAGCCUCUUGAGUAGCUGGGGCUACAGGCUAUAUGCCCUGCUGUUUUGUAUUUUUGGUAGGGACGGGGUGGGGGUGGGGCUAGGGAGGGGGUUUUGGCUAUGUUGCCCUGAGCUCAAAGCGAUCCGCCUGCCUCUGCUGCCAAAGUGCUGGGAUUACAGGCCUGCACCACUGCACCCGGCUGCUGUAAAGUCUUAUUUCACACAGCUGAGACAUGUUUUAGGAAGUUUGCUGAAAGACUCCUGGAGACCUCCUCGUUGUGACCUCCCUGUUAUUGUGUCUAAUUUGAUUGAACUUUUCUGCCCUCCUGCUUUUCAGCUUCUCUAAUAGUCUCUCAUUAAACCAAUUCUAAGAACCACCAAAAAA
rnacentral:lncRNA from 1 species